CCUACGGGGGGCUGCAGUGGGGAAUAUUGGACAAUGGGGGCAACCCUGAUCCAGCCAUGCCGCGUGUGUGAAGAAGGCCCUCGGGUUGUAAAGCACUUUCAGUGAGGAAGAAAGCCUGGUGGUUAAUACCCAUCAGGAAAGACAUCACUCACAGAAGAAGCACCGGCUAACUCCGUGCCAGCAGCCGCGGUAAUACGGAGGGUGCGAGCGUUAAUCGGAAUUACUGGGCGUAAAGCGCGCGUAGGUGGCUUGAUAAGCCGGUUGUGAAAGCCCCGGGCUCAACCUGGGAACGGCAUCCGGAACUGUCAAGCUAGAGUGCAGGAGAGGAAGGUAGAAUUCCCGGUGUAGCGGUGAAAUGCGUAGAGAUCGGGAGGAAUACCAGUGGCGAAGGCGGCCUUCUGGACUGACACUGACACUGAGGUGCGAAAGCGUGGGUAGCAAACAGGAUUAGAUACCCCUGUAGUC
rnacentral:rRNA from 1 species